ACGGGUGAGUAACACGUGGGCAACCUGCCCUUGAGACUGGGAUAACUUCGGGAAACCGGAGCUAAUACCGGAUAAUAUAAGGAACCUCCUGGUUCCUUAUUGAAAGAUGGUUUCGGCUAUCACUUAAGGAUGGGCCCGCGGCGCAUUAGCUAGUUGGUGAGGUAACGGCUCACCAAGGCGACGAUGCGUAGCCGACCUGAGAGGGUGAUCGGCCACACUGGGACUGAGACACGGCCCAGACUCCUACGGGAGGCAGCAGUAGGGAAUCUUCCACAAUGGACGAAAGUCUGAUGGAGCAACGCCGCGUGAGUGAUGAAGGCCUUCGGGUCGUAAAGCUCUGUUGUUAGGGAAGAACAAGUGCGAGAGUAACUGCUCGCACCUUGACGGUACCUAAUCAGAAAGCCACGGCUAACUACGUGCCAGCAGCCGCGGUAAUACGUAGGUGGCAAGCGUUAUCCGGAAUUAUUGGGCGUAAAGCGCGCGCAGGUGGUUUCUUAAGUCUGAUGUGAAAGCCCACGGCUCAACCGUGGAGGGUCAUUGGAAACUGGGGAACUUGAGUGCAGAAGAGGAAAGUGGAAUUCC
rnacentral:rRNA from 1 species